AAUAAGUCCAUUUUUCAGUUUUUAAGAUGCAAUGCAUUGACUCUUCGUCUUAUUUGAAAUUUUUUUUGUGAUUAAUAUUUUUAUUGUUACUAGAUGAUAAAAUAUGAAUAAUACUUUACGUGUGGCUAAUUUUUUUAAAUUUUUUUACAAAUUUUUCAAAUAAAACGAAUGGUCAAAGCGUUGGACGCAUAAAUUAAA
rnacentral:pre_miRNA from 1 species